UGAGCAUCACCUGUUGCAUUGUGGGUGGAAACGUUAAGGCCCUGCGCAUGCUCCUCGUCCUGUCCUCAGAACGCCGGGACUGUGGUUGUUGCUGCACCUUGUCUCUGAGCGGAGACGUCCGACGACCAUGCAGGUCCCUGAUAACGCCGAGGGUGGUCCAGAGGGAGACUAUGGAGAUAAUGGUGUGAGAGGCGGCCCUUCACACCCUAUGUUCCUUGGAGGCGGGAAAGGUCCCAGAGCAGAAGGUGCGAAUGGCGGGGAGUAUCCGCAAGGACAGGGAGCAGUGCUGGGAGGAGCGGCGGGUGGAGAUGCCUCAGCCGUGGCCAGAGUCACUGAACAGGAACCUCUGGAGUUGUAUCCUUUCUGAGGAACGGUUUGGGGGAGGGCUGAGAGCCCACAGGGGCAUCGUCCGCUGGGCGGAGGAGAAGAGUAGGGGCACCCAAUGGGUGGGAGGCUGAGCCUGGUUUGGGGGUGCGCCUCCAGGAGGGGCAGUGUGGGCAGGGUGGCCAGAGGGGCCCUCCAAGGGUUUGUUUUUUGGGGGGGUGGCUUAGGGACGCACGGGCUGGGAGACAGACGGUGUCAGUUGCAACUUCCCCUUAACCACGUCUCCACCAGGCAUCUCACGGUGCCUUACAGUUACUCGGUGGACGCCGAGAUUGCUUGCAUGUACCUGGGUCCAGUAGUUCGGUCCCUUCCAGAAGGAGUUUACAGCGAAAUCACCAUAGAUGGCAAACACCUGAAUAUUCUGUUAAUUGCAGAAAAUUCCCACCUUCUGGACAUUUCUGUCGCUGCCUUGCUGCACCAGCUCUCCACAGUGUUUCCGGUCUAUGAGGAUUUCCAGGCUUAGAUUCUGGACAAACUUCAGCUAGAAAAGAGGAUUUGGUUUUCUUCCUCUAUCCUCCAUCCCUAGGUAGUCCAUCCUUUCCUAGAGGAGGGAUUCCUGAGGUGCCCUGACACUUAUUUACUUCUCUAGGUGGCCCUCUGAGUGCAUAAAUGUUAAGGCUGAAAAUAAAGUGAACUGCUCUCCUACGUCUGAGAUUCUUUUCAGCAGUUGGUCUUCCUGAUUUCCUUGCCUUUGUCCUUGGGAGAGGGGACCUUCUGGGGUUUAAGUAGACAGAGUAAUCGAUGGCAAC
rnacentral:lncRNA from 1 species